rnacentral:rRNA from 1 species
UCGUUAUUCGUAAUCCUAGCAGUACGUCGAGCGGAACGAGAAUAGCUUGGUAUUCUCCGUCUAGCGCCGGAGGGGUGAGAAAUGCGUAUGAAAUUGUCCCCUAUAGGGGGAGAACCCUUGUGAACAAUGGGUAAUACCCCAUAACCUCUUCUGAGAAAAGAGGGGGACCUUCUGGCCUCUCGCUCUUGUGUACACCUAUGUGGGAUUAUCUAUUUGUGGAGGUAAUGGGUCUCCACGGGGACAAUACCUAUCUGGGCUGAGAGAAUGAUCACCCCCACUGUGGCUGAGACACGGCCCCCACACCUCCAGGAGGGGCCACUGGGGAAUAUUGCGCAAUGUGCGAAAACCUCUUGCGCCCCUGUGCCGUGUGUGAGAAAAGCCUUCUCGUUGUGAAGUACUUUUUCUUGUGAGGAAAGGGGUGUGGUUAAUAACUGCGCAUUUUGACAUGUUCACCACAAAAAACACCCCCUAAAUCCCCGCCACCACCCCCGGUAAUACAGAGAGGGCGAGCGUUAAUCUCAAAUUUAGGGCGUAAAGCGCAUGCGCGUGUGUUGUGAAAUCACAUAUGAAAGCCCGGGGCUCUCCCUCUCAAGGGCAUUUUAGACUGUGAAACUAUAGUACUGUGUAGAGGGGGAGAGAAUCUCGUGUGUCGCGGAAAUGCGUAGAGAUCUGAAGGAAUACCAGUGGAGAAGGCGGCCCCCUGGACAGAUACUGACACUCAGAUGCGAAAGCGUGGGGAGCAAACAGGAUUAGAUACCCUGGUAGUCCACGCCGUAAACGAUGUCUACUUGGAGGUUGUGGCCUUGAGCCGUGGCUUUCGGAGCUAACGCGUUAAGUAGACCGCCUGGGGAGUACGGUCGCAAGAUUAAAACUCAAAUGAAUUGACGGGGGCCCGCACAAGCGGUGGAGCAUGUGGUUUAAUUCGAUGCAACGCGAAGAACCUUACCUACUCUUGACAUCCAGAGAACUUUCCAGAGAUGGAUUGGUGCCUUCGGGAACUCUGAGACAGGUGCUGCAUGGCUGUCGUCAGCUCGUGUUGUGAAAUGUUGGGUUAAGUCCCGCAACGAGCGCAACCCUUAUCCUUGUUUGCCAGCGAGUAAUGUCGGGAACUCCAGGGAGACUGCCGGUGAUAAACCGGAGGAAGGUGGGGACGACGUCAAGUCAUCAUGGCCCUUACGAGUAGGGCUACACACGUGCUACAAUGGCGCAUACAGAGGGCAGCAAGCUAGCGAUAGUGAGCGAAUCCCAAAAAGUGCGUCGUAGUCCGGAUUGGAGUCUGCAACUCGACUCCAUGAAGUCGGAAUCGCUAGUAAUCGUGGAUCAGAAUGCCACGGUGAAUACGUUCCCGGGCCUUGUACACACCGCCCGUCACACCAUGGGAGUGGGCUGCAAAAGAAGUAGGUAGUUUAACCUCGGGAGGACGCAGUGCAGAGCAUGUGCAACCUUCCCC